GAAUAUUGUCCUACGUCAAGAAGAAGGAGCAGUCAUACAUCUAAUUUGGUUGACUGUAUGCAUCUCGACUCGUUUUCGGAAGGACACUUAGAGUUUUGUGGUUGCAGUCAGGCGCAACCUUCUCUCAACAAAUUUUGGGCCAAAGGAUCCUCUGAAAACCCCUAACGCUUUGUUUAGGAAAUUUCACUGAAUCAAAAUGGCUUUGCAGAAUAUUGGAGCUGCCAACAGUGAUGAUGCCUUCUACAGGUACAA
rnacentral:lncRNA from 1 species